GACGAACGCUGUCGGCGUGCUUAACACAUGCAAGUCGAACGGAAAGGCCCUGCUUUUGUGGGGUGCUCGAGUGGCGAACGGGUGAGUAACACGUGAGUAACCUGCCCUUGACUUUGGGAUAACUUCAGGAAACUGGGGCUAAUACCGGAUAGGAGCUCCUGCUGCAUGGUGGGGGUUGGAAAGUUUCGGCGGUUGGGGAUGGACUCGCGGCUUAUCAGCUUGUUGGUGGGGUAGUGGCUUACCAAGGCUUUGACGGGUAGCCGGCCUGAGAGGGUGACCGGCCACAUUGGGACUGAGAUACGGCCCAGACUCCUACGGGAGGCAGCAGUGGGGAAUAUUGCACAAUGGGCGGAAGCCUGAUGCAGCAACGCCGCGUGCGGGAUGACGGCCUUCGGGUUGUAAACCGCUUUCGCCUGUGACGAAGCGUGAGUGACGGUAAUGGGUAAAGAAGCACCGGCUAACUACGUGCCAGCAGCCGCGGUGAUACGUAGGGUGCGAGCGUUGUCCGGAUUUAUUGGGCGUAAAGGGCUCGUAGGUGGUUGAUCGCGUCGGAAGUGUAAUCUUGGGGCUUAACCCUGAGCGUGCUUUCGAUACGGGUUGACUUGAGGAAGGUAGGGGAGAAUGGAAUUCCUGGUGGAGCGGUGGAAUGCGCAGAUAUCAGGAGGAACACCAGUGGCGAAGGCGGUUCUCUGGGCCUUUCCUGACGCUGAGGAGCGAAAGCGUGGGGAGCGAACAGGCUUAGAUACCCUGGUAGUCCACGCUGUAAACGGUGGGUACUAGGUGUGGGGUCCAUUCCACGGGUUCCGUGCCGUAGCUAACGCUUUAAGUACCCCGCCUGGGGAGUACGGCCGCAAGGCUAAAACUCAAAGGAAUUGACGGGGCCCCGCACAAGCGGCGGAGCAUGCGGAUUAAUUCGAUGCAACGCGUAGAACCUUACCUGGGUUUGACAUGGAUCGGGAGUGCUCAGAGAUGGGUGUGCCUCUUUUGGGGUCGGUUCACAGGUGGUGCAUGGCUGUCGUCAGCUCGUGUCGUGAGAUGUUGGGUUAAGUCCCGCAACGAGCGCAACCCUUGUUCACUGUUGCCAGCACGUUAUGGUGGGGACUCAGUGGAGACCGCCGGGGUCAACUCGGAGGAAGGUGGGGAUGACGCCAAGUCAUCAUGCCCCUUAUGUCCAGGGCUUCACGCAUGCUACAAUGGCUGGUACAGAGAGUGGCGAGCCUGUGAGGGUGAGCGAAUCUCGGAAAGCCGGUCUCAGUUCGGAUUGGGGUCUGCAACUCGACCUCAUGAAGUCGGAGUCGCUAGUAAUCGCAGAUCAGCAACGCUGCGGUGAAUACGUUCCCGGG
rnacentral:rRNA from 1 species